rnacentral:lncRNA from 1 species
GGAGAAGGAGUGAUUUCCCCCAAACCUCUUAGUACCAAGGCCUAAACUGACCUACGUGUGCUACCAGACCUCUCUUCCUUCCUGGGACAUUAAGUGUCUUAAUCUCACUCUCCAUGAAGCACCUGCUCUGUGCAUACUCAGCAAGUCCUGGGCAAGUCCUAAGUAAGCCACAGAAAGGGAGGGGAAGCACGGUGAGGCCAGGGGCUCCCCAGGGUCACAGCGCCCUGGUCCGGCCCCACAUGCACCAGGGCACUGCAUUCCCCCUGGGUGCCGUGUCCUUCCCACAGCCUAGGUCAUUGUACAGACAUGUGUGCUCCGUGUGGCGCCACCUUUCGAUCCGGUGGGUGGCCCUUGGGAGCCUCUCUAAAUCUCCUGGCAUGUGGCAGAGGCACAGGGAUGCACAGCCCCUCCUCUGCCAGGAAGCUCCAGCACCUACACAGAGGGGAGGGCUCUGAGGCCAGGCUCUGCUCCCAUCUCAGGAGACAGUUCCCAGACUACUGACAAAAGCUCAUUUGGCGUGUCUUCUCCGGGAGAAAACACCACAGGAAUUGGCUGCAUUUUAUGCAAAGUGGCAGAAGCCAGGAAGGCUACGGACUUUGCAGCCCCUCUCAGCUCUCGCUCAGGUGGGUCCUAGCAUGGUGCCUGAUGCACUAACCCCACAGGCGCGGUCCCUGUCUCCCCAGGACUCAGUGAGCAGGCCUGAGCCCCAGGAAGCCCAGGACUUGCAGAGACGGAAAGGGCCAAAGGACAGAGACCUGCCCGCUGCCCAGCUGCAGCACAGGGAGGAGGCACGGAGGGCCCAAAGAAGGGGUGCGCCUGGCCCCUACAUGCUCUCCAGGCUGCCGGGGAGCACCUCUUUCCCCUGGCAGGACACUGCUUCCUCUGCUGGGGAUGCUGCCCCAGGCCUGUGGUGAAAUCCAGAGCGUGGAACCUUGAGCACUGUAACAGGUCAGGCUCGGGACCCGGGACUUGCGGGGUGAGGCCCUUUCUACUCGCAGAUGGUGUGAGGUGCAGUACUACCCAGCAGGAGCACUGUUGCCCCUUGCCAGGCAUGGCUCAGCAGGCGUUCCCUGAAGGGGCCUCCACUUCCCAUCCAGAAUCGCUGUUCCCGCCUCUGAGAAAGGCUGAGAUGCUCAACACGUCAACGUGGGGAAGGCAGGGACAACCCCGAACAUCACCCCACUCAUCCCCACUGGCUGUGUCUGCAGCCUUGGCUUGAAGCUGCAGCUAAAAAUAGAUCUGCCACUGAGGGGCACGGGAGGGGAUAUGGAGCGGGCAAGGAGCAGCAUUCACACCGGGCAGGCUGGAAAACAGAGUGCAGGUCUGAGGCUCUAGCUGACAUCACCCAGGAUGGCCAGAAAGCCCCACAGUUCCCAGCCAGGACUGGGACCAGAGAGCAUCAAGGUGCUGGGGACAGCACCGCCCACCAGUGGGACCAAUGCCUCCCUGCCCUGCUAAGCACCCAACAUUCUGGCCCAGCUCCAUCAGGCCACCACAAAGCCCCCCUCCCUCUCCUGCAGCCCGAGGCUAGUUCAAGGAGCCAUUUAUUCAGCUGGCGCCCAGGACUCUUUCCUGUGCUGUCCUUGGAUGAGGCAUCCAAGAAAAACAAGAGAUUCCAUUCACUGGUACAGUAAGUCCCAGCUGAUCCACGUCCAAAUAGCCCAUUCAAUUACUCUUAUCUCUACCAACAACAUAUGUUUUCUCUUUCCACGUCCGUCCUUCAAUGUGAGGGUUUGGAAAGGCUGCAAAAUUCGGGGAUAUAAAAAUUCCUGCAAGAUGAAGGCGCCAGGGGUUAAAUUUGUUUUUAAUCUUAGAAGGAAACAAUGGAAAACUGUAGAAAGACUGAAAUCUCCAUCACUUAUUUUUAGCACGUCAUAUCUUUUGAAAUUCAUUUUCUCAUUUAAGGGAUGGAAUACAUCUGGGACACUGUGACAUAGGCCUCGUCCUGUGGAUGGCACCAGGCAGAUGCUGAUUCAAACGUCCACUCUGUGACUUCCUGGCUAGGGGACUGCAGAGCCCUAGCUUCCAUCUCUGUAAAUGACAGUAGCAUACCUGCUCCACAGGCCUGCCGGGAGCAAUGGACAGCGUCUGUAGAGCAGACAGCAGCAUGCCGACCGCCAGCAAGCCCUGCAGGGCUGUGGGCACUACCGCCCUUCCCAGGGUCAUUGUCCUGAUCCUAGAGGUGAAGAAGUCUCAGCAAAAGAAAAGCGCUUGGACCCAGACUGGCUCAUCUGCUGGGAACAAAGGUGUUUAAUGCCAGCAGUUAUUCACCUGCACCGAUGUGGACACAUCCCAGUCGAAAGCAUCCUAAGAUGAGGAGAAUAAAUAUCACCAGGUCCAAGGGUGACGCCAUGAGCUCCGCAGGAACCAUGUCUGAACAUUGCCCGGAAGCUCACGUGAAACUUUGGAACUAAGAAUCCCACAGAGACCUGGGCUUGAUUCACAUCUGCACUCAUUAGCACCGGUUCAAGCCAGCGGUCUACAUUCUCUUGAUUUUGCUGUGAUUAGGUGGCGGCAGAGGAAAAACUCAAGGAGGCCCAGCAAAAGAAGCCAUCAUCACAACUAAGGCUGUCCCCAUGGGGUCUGAAGAAAGCAUUUCAGAAGGCUGCUCUCAGGGCAAGAGCCACAGGCAUCUCUAUAGACAGAGGUGGCUCUCCCACAGCAGAAGGAAUCAGGUCCCAUGUCCAUGCGUUCUGGUCUGGCAGAAGACAGACUUUCUCCUCAACACGCCUGAGGACUCCUUGAGGAGACGGACUGUUUCUCUCUGAUUCAUUCAUUCACAAAACAAGUAUUUGUUGAAGGCUUACUAUAGACCACUCAUUCAACAAGCAUUUACUUUGUACCCACUCUGUGUUGUGAGUUCAUAGAGGGGGUGAAACAGACACAGAUCAUCAAAGGGGAGUGAGAAAGAGCCACCCCUGGGAUGGGAGCAGAGAGAGGAGAAAGCAAAAGGAGCGUGCUGCAGUGGAAUACGUGGUUGGAAGUCAGCAGACCAAGGCUUGAAAUCCAGAUGGAGGCCACUAGCUCAUCAUUAUGAUUUUGGGAAAUAUAAAUAUAUUGGGAAAAACGUGAAUUUUGAAACCACAGUAACUGUGUUCUGGUCCUUGCUUUGCAGACUGAAUGACAACCUCACAUACGCUUUGUUCUCUCCCCUAAAGCGUAGUAAUAACACUACCUACUCUGGAGAUUGUUGUAAAGUCUGUAUUAUUAACUUCUUCAUCAAAUAUUUAUUGCGCAUGUAAUAGAUGCUCUAAGGACAGUUCUAAGCUCUGAGAAUACACUGACAACAAAUCCGUCCUGCAUGGAGCUUAUAUUCUAAUGAGGGUAGAGAGACAAACAAGAAACAAAUCUGUGAUAUGACUAAAUAUCAGAGUAUUAUAACAAUUGUGCAGAAAAAUUAAGCAACUCAGACCUUGGAAGGAAGGAGUGGUAGGUCAGACAGAAGAUGUAGAAGGAAAGUUUAAAAAGAAAGAGGAAGAAAAUUAUCACACAGAACAAAACCAAGAAAAAGCAGAUCACAAAAGUAUAUAGAAAAAUUACAAACACAAAAAGCCAACAGAAUGUAUGACAUAACCAAGACCAAACAUUUAUACCACAGCAAUGCAUAUAAAUGGCCUAAACUCACUUAUGAAUUAAAAAGACUUUGAAGUUGGAUCAGAAAGCAAAACUCAAUGCUUCAUCCAAGAGAACCACAUAAAAAUGUGAUUCUCAAAGGUUUAAAUUCAAAUGAUAGGCAAAAGUAUACCAGCCAAACAAAAAGAAGGCAGGGGUGGUAGUUAUAAUAUCAAAGAGGGAUGAAAUAAGGGCAAAAAACAUGAAAGGAGACAGAGAAGGGCAUCUUAAAUAAUAAAGGGGACAGCCAAAGGACAACAGUUAUGAGCAUCUGUGUGCCACAGGCCAUCAGCAUUCACACUGCAGGUAUCAUGGGACACACACAUGUCACAUCAAUACAAGAUCACUCAUGGUGCAAUGGACCCACAUGAGCAUUAGUUGUGAUUCACCUCUCAAACCCCAUGGUAGAUCAAAUAAGAAAGGAUCUUAAAGAACUACCCCGUAUCAUUAAUAAAGUAGAGCUAAUUGAUACAUUUUCAACUCAAUACACUUAAAACAAGGAACAUAACUUGUUUAAAAAUGUCCAUGGCAUAGUUACAAAAAUCUUAGCACAAAGAAAACUUGGUAAAUUGUAAGUGGUAAAAAUAGUAUUGAACUGAUAAUACCAUUAUAUUAGAAAGCAAUAACAAAAGAAGAAAACAAAACAAAGUAAUUACCAUAGGAAGUUUUUUUAAAAACUAUCUUUUAACUCUCGGGACAGAAGUGAAAUAUAAAUUAAUUGCAGAAUGCCUAAAACAUAUCAAACAUUAAAACAUUAAAUUCUAGAACAUGGAAAAGAGUAGAAACAGGGACCACCGGAAAAUUCAUAUCCUUAAAUAACUGUAUUUAUAAUAGGAAAUUUUAAAUGAAUUAAAUAUGCAACCCACAGGUAGAUAUUUAGAAAGGCAAAAAGGCAUUGAGGGAGGACUAUCUAUAGCAGAUAUUAAAAUAUACUGUACUGUAAAGCUAGAACGACUACAAGGGUGGUGCUCACUCCUGGGUACACGGACAGAAGAGAGUCCAACAAUUUCCCUAAAUAUAUGAGAAAAGUGAUUGGGAAAAGAUAGAUUAUUGAUUAAAUGACUUGGGGCCAAUUAGGUGGCUUUUUAGAAAAACAAAGGGAGGACCCAUGCCGCACUCACCUUAGUAUAUUCCAGAUAAAUAAAAGGUUUGAAUAUUAAAGCAAAUGAGACCAUGAACGUACCAGGAGAAAACAUGGGAGAAUGUUUUAAAAAUGUAAUCCAAAUGAAGCAGGUCUUUUAAAGCAUGGUUCCAACACAGAAGAUAUUUUUUAAGAGAUUGCUCCAUUUGAAAGGAAUAUCAUACAGUGCGACUCACUCUGGUGAGGAAUGACAUAUUUCACGAGGAUAUUUGUUGCCAUCAUGCUUAUAACAGCAAAACAUUAGAAACAACCUACGUCCAUCAAAAGGUACAGAGUAAAUAAAGGAGGAUGCAUCUGAUGCAUAGGUUCAAAAGAAUGCACCAGCUCCACAGGAUGGAGAUGGAAACAUACCCGAGAUCUACCAUUAAGUGAAAAAAUAAAAAUAAACAAACAUGGUAGAACAGCUGUCACAGGACACCAUUAAGGAAAAGAAAUUUACAGACUAUGUCUGCAGACACAACCAGAAAUGGGACAACAGCAGCCCAUGGGGAGAGGAUCAGGGUUAAGGAGAAGGAGACUUGUACAUCCUUUCUUACCUCCUAAAUUCUGAAGUAUGUUUGUGCAUAUUUUUUCUUUGCAACAUAAAUAAAGCAAAUAAACACUUAGUGCACUGGCUUGCAGGGGCUACCAUGCAGUGGGAGAAAGGCUUUCCACUGAUAUUCUGAGGCUUUCCCUUGGAAGUGGGGAGUGGGGCAGUGCUGGGAGGCGGGCCGUCUCUCUUCGCUCCCACACUUACUCGCUGGUGGUCAUGAAAUCAGCUUUAUGAUUUUCAAGUUCCCUCUCUGUAAAACAAGGGUGGUUUUAUGUAUCUGAUGAGGUUGUGUGAGGACUGUGUGACAUGAGUGAAUUUAAAUGCCAGCAAAGUCCCUGCAGUAGAGGCUUCUCAAUAAAGGUAGUUAUGCUGAUUACAAGUGAGAGUCCGCCAGCUGAGAGGUGCCUUCGCUCUGUGGCUGAGUUUUGUUAUAACCCGGACACCUGGGCCCACCUUGGGUAGGCAUAGGGCAUGCUAUGUUGAGUCCAUUUUUAUUAGCUCUUGGCUUAUUAGGAUUAAUAACCUGCUACUUGCCACUCUAUGGAGAUUUCAGACUUCUUUCCUUAGCUUGUUUUCAGAACCUGACAGCUGCACUCACAUCACCCUUUCCUCAGCACCUGCAGGCAUUUAUACUGUGUCUCUCAUUUCCUGCUGGAGGGUCUG